rnacentral:rRNA from 1 species
CCUACGGGGGGCAGCAGUGGGGAAUAUUGCGCAAUGGGCGGAAGCCUGACGCAGCGACGCCGCGUGGGGGAUGACGGCCUUCGGGUUGUAAACCUCUUUCAGCUUCGACGAAGCCUUUCGGGGUGACGGUAGGAGCAGAAGAAGCACCGGCCAACUACGUGCCAGCAGCCGCGGUAAUACGUAGGGUGCGAGCGUUGUCCGGAAUUAUUGGGCGUAAAGAGCUCGUAGGCGGUUCGUCGCGUCGGCUGUGAAAACCCGGAGCUCAACUCCGGGCCUGCAGUCGAUACGGGCGGACUGGAGUUCGGCAGGGGAGACUGGAAUUCCUGGUGUAGCGGUGAAAUGCGCAGAUAUCAGGAGGAACACCGGUGGCGAAGGCGGGUCUCUGGGCCGAUACUGACGCUGAGGAGCGAAAGCGUGGGGAGCGAACAGGAUUAGAUACC